rnacentral:rRNA from 1 species
GACGAACGCUGGCGGCGUGCCUAACACAUGCAAGUCGAACGAAGCUUGAAGAUUGAUUCUUCGGAUGAAAUCUGAUAUGACUGAGUGGCGGACGGGUGAGUAACGCGUGAGCAACCUGCCCUUCGGAGGGGGAUAGUGUCUGGAAACGGACAGUAAUACCGCAUAACGUAUUUUUACCGCAUGAUAGAAAUACCAAAACUGAGGUGCCGAAGGAUGGGCUCGCGUUGGAUUAGAUAGUUGGUGGAGGUAACGGCCCACCAAGGCAACGAUCGGUAGCCGGACUGAGAGGUUGAACGGCCACAUUGGGACUGAGACACGGCCCAG